rnacentral:tRNA from 1 species
CUCUGGGUAGUCUAGUUGGUUUAUGGCGUCUGACUGUAAAUCAGAAUGUCGCGUGUUCGAAUCACGCCCUGGAGA